CUCCGUGGGCGUAGGACCCUCCAAGCCAGGUGCGAUAUAAUGUCGUGGUGCGCCGUUUUUUAAGCUGGUUGGAAAAGCGCAGUAUUCGCGUGGGAGUGACCCGAUUUUCCAGUGAGAUGAACCCGGUACCUCAGAUUGAAAUGCAGAAAUCACCCGUCUUCUGCGUCGCUCACGCUGGGAGCUGUAGACCGGAGCUGUUCCUAUUCGGCCAUCUUGGCUCCUCCCUCAGUUCUGGAGACUGGGACAUCCAAGGUCAAUGUGCUGGCAGAUUCAAUGUCUGGAGUGAAAUACAUCACCGCUUUCCCUGCUCCCGCCGCCAUUAAAAUUGUGUUUGGCAUCUGACCACCAAGAUACAGAUAUUUCCUAGACUGUUUUGCAGCUAGGUACUUAGAUAGUAAUGAAGAUAGGGGCCACCAUUCCCUGUGAAAAUCAAGUGGGAAAGUCCUGAGUCCUUUAAUGACUUUACAGAGGACAGAAUAAACUCCUAUCAUAUUCAUGCA
rnacentral:lncRNA from 1 species